rnacentral:lncRNA from 1 species
UUUUUUUUUUUUUUUUGCUUUUAAGGGCCGCACUUGCAGCAUAUGGAGGUUCCCAGGGGUCUAAUCAGAGCUACAGCCACCGGCCUACGCCAGAGCCACAGCAACGCGGGAUCCGAGCCACGUCUGCAACCUACACCACAGCUCGUGGCAACGCCAGAUCCUUAACCCACUGAGCAAGGCCAGGGAUCAAACCUGCAACCUCAAGGUUCCUAGUCGGAUUUGUUUCCACUGCGCCACAAUGGGAACUCCACAAAGAUGAUUUUCAUUUUGUAUAUAUGGCUAGGAGGAGCAGAAAGGAUAAAGAAGAUUAGGAAGAAGGGAAAAGGAGGAGGAAGAGAUAGGUGGAAGGAAGAGGAGCAGAGAGGAGGGAAGAAGAUGAGGAAGGAGGAGGAGAGAGGAGGAGAAAGGAGGAGCAGAAAAAUUUUAUUAAUCAUUAGGGAGCAGUAUAUUAUAUCCUAUCCAUUCCAUGGAAUUUUCACAGUUUUAAAAUACAGCUAUGAUGACUGUCAAUUUGCCAAAAGGUUUAAAACAUAAUAUGCAGCAUAAAAAGCAGACCAGUUACAUGCAUACAAUGCUUAUAACUAUGUAAAAAGAUAUAUGCUUGUGAGCAUUACUUGGAGGAUAACAUGCAAAAAAAAUUGUUUUAGAUCAUGGGAUUAAGAGUGGAAAGUUAUUCUUUUUUUCCUUUUCCAAAAUGCUUUACUGCUGUUAUAUUGUUUUUGCUAUAAAAUAAAGUGAGGAAAUGGAUCAUUAUAAUUAAUAAACAUGGCUGUGAACCGAAGAUUUAUCUGAGAAUGAUGUUUCAGCUAAAAAAAUUAAUCCUUCAUCAUUCGUUAUUUUAAGCAUGGAUCUUCCCACCCCCGUAUACGAUUUAGUGGCAAGGUAAGGGAGCAUAAGGAAAAGAAAAACAGCCAUAAAAUAUGGGCAGACUCAACUGAGGAAAAGAAGCUGCCAAAAGAGGCUUAAGUGUGCAUCUUAAGAGUACCAGACUGUGAAGCUGGGAAAACAGCAUCCGCUUCUAAGUCUCCCAUGAAAAUGCAAUCAGAAUUGGAAGAUAAGGUGUGUGGAAUAUAAACUAAAAUACAUAAGCAUCUUCCUUAAAGUGGUAGACUUUUCUUUUUGUGUGCCAUUUUUCAAUGAAUGGAUCCCCCAAAUGAUUAAAACCUAAAAUUAGCAUUGUCUAUUUUUCAGCUAACUCCUGCACAGAUUAGGAAUGCAGCAUAGGCUGGAAUUUUGCACCUAGGGCAGAAGGUCUAUUCUUGCCCAAAUACUAUGCAUAGGCUACACUUGAAAAAGGCUUUAUUUAAUGGCCCUUUCUUUUCUGGCUAUUACUAUUCUUAGCAUAAUUCCUCUGGGUUCACUGGGGAUAAGCGCCUCUAGAAGGAAAAAAAAAAAAAAAAAAAAAAGGCUGAGAUUAGAGGCAAGUGAUUUUUCACCUGGAAUACACUACAAGGAUAGAGAGAGUAGGGUAAUUAUCUUUAGCAAUGAAAUUCUCUUUUGAUAAAGGUGUGGGGGAGGGGCAAUGUGAAGGAAUAAAUAGGUCAGUUCAUUUAUUUCAGCUUCCCUAAGUCAGCAGCCCUUUGACUGUUCUAACACAGGAAUGGGAGCCCUGACAACUCAUGGGUCAGCAGAGCAUAUGUUGUUCAAAUAAAAUCUAUCAAUGCAUUGAGAUAUGGCUAGUCUUCAAAAACCUGUCAUUCCUACAAAAGUGUAACCAGCUCAGCUCCCACCCCUUGGCUGCACUACAUCUCAUUUUAUAUAUAUAUAUAUAUAUAUAUAUUUUUUUUUUUUUUUAAGGGCCACAUCUGCCGGCAUAUGGAGGUUCCAGGGCUAGGGGUCGAAUUGGAGCUAUAGCUGCUGACCUACACCACAACCACAGCAAUGCGGGAUUUGAGCCAUGGCUUUGACCCACACCACAGCUCACGGCAACGCUGGAUCCUUAACCCACUGAGCAAGGCCAGGGAUCAAACCUGUGCCCUCAUGGAUACUAGUCAGAUUCGUCUCCACUGAGCCACAGUGGGAACUCCUGCACUACAUCUCAGUAUCUGCAUUUCACUGACCACUUUUCUUCAGAGCUGGUAUUUGGAACCUGUAAUCCUUUAUAAAAUUGCUCAUCUCCUUGAGCCACAAAUAUUUUUCAAGCACCAGCUGAAAUUAGGGACUAGAGACUAUUAAAAUUGCAAGCUUCCUACUGAGCUACAGCCACUGGUCUAGACUGUAACAGUGUCAGAAUGGGGUCAGGGAGGCCUUUGCACCUGUUCCCUCAUUGCCUGUUGCAUCCAGAUCCCUAAUAUACACACUCUCUUCUCCUCCCUUCCUCUAUCUCCAUUCCCCAACACCAAACACACUCAAACAUACUCUCCUGUGAUCUUACGCUUCUGAGAAAAGCCAUUCCUUCCUUCAAAAUUAUUUGGGAACCCCUAAGACAGAAUAAAAACUACUACAGAGAAACUAUAGACAGAUACUUCCAUGGAUCAAGAGAAGAUAAUAUAUUCAUUGGUAGAUUCAAUGAAAUCCUAAAGAUUAUUGCCAACUGAAAUUCCAAGCAAUUUGGAAUGGGGCCCUUUGAAUAUGAAUUUAUUUAACAGUGAAUUGUGAAGUUGGCAGAAGGGUGAGAGGGCAGGAGCUGAGUUAUAUUAAAUGCACACCUACACCCUCUCAGACAAUCAAACAGGCUGAAGGAGAAUUAAGAUAGUCAUAGAAAAUACAAGAAUAAAAAGUAAGGAACAACAAGUAUUGAAAUGACAACUUAUUCAAGUCAUAGGUAGGAAGUUAUGUGCUCAGAUAACAAACCAAAAAGAGAAAGUAAAGAGAUCUAUUAGAAAGUUAGCCUUCUAUCUCAUAUUUCAACGAAGAAAAAAAAAAGGCCUCUGUAUAGGAGUUCUAUACUCAACGACCCAUGAAUUAAUAUUUUUCACUCUGAGGUGGUUACAGAGAUUCUUUGUUUUGCAGAGUAUUAUGGCACAGUCAAAUGCACAUGGUCUUAGAAUGAAAUCCAUGUUCUUAUUAAUAAAGUGGUUUUCAACCAUGCUGCAUAUUAGAAAUCACCCAGGAGGUUUUCCAACUCUGCCUUCCUGGGCCCCACCCCCAGGUGUUCCAAUUCAUCAGGAGGGGAGUGAAGAGCUAGGUACUUUUUUAUACCCCCUGCGUGAUCCUAACGAACAAGAUGUUAAGAGCAGAUUUCUCAAAGCGUGCUCCCUGUCCCAACAACAUCAGCAUCACCUAGGAACUUCUUAGAAAUGCAAAUUCUGUAGCCCCACUCCAGACUCAAUGAUUCAGAAAAUCUGAGGGUGGAAGCCAGUAAACUUUUACCAAGUCCUCCCAGGGGUUCUCAUGCAUGCUAAAGUUGGAGAAUGGCUGCCACAGAAAAAUGGUUCUCAAACUUUGGUUUGUAUAAGGAUAACUUGGAGAGAUAAAAUGCAAAUCUGAUUCAGUAAUUUCGAGGUGAGGCCUGAGAUUCAGCAUUCCCAACAUGUUAUCAGUUAUUAAAAUUAUGAGUAGCAAGGUCAUAUAAAUAGACUGUACCACUUUGAUGAAAAAUGGGCAGCAAACUUCAUAUAAACGCAGAUUUCCUGGUCCAAAAAUUCUGGAGUUAGCAUAUGGGAAGUAAGACCCAGAAUUUUAACAAUGCGCAUUUUAACAAGAAGCUGAGGUAAUAUUCUCAGUCUCCUGCCAUCAAUUAUCACUUUCUUUGAUUAAAUGUAUUAAGUACAAUCCUCACUGGUUGCCCAUCC